GCAACGUCGGUUUUGGUUGUUCGUUAUCGCCGUUGCGAAGUAAAAGUUAUUCGAGUCUGAAGAACUUGAAAUCAUUCGAUUUUCAAACAAUGGUACAACUGUUUUUGUGCGUUAGCCGUGCUUAAUGCCGAACGGAUAACGCCAACGCUGCGCAGUGCGAGUUUUCCCUUUUAUACGGUGAAAAAUUCGAUCGCCAAAUUAUGUUUAUGGCCCGAGUGGUUUUAUUUUUUCGGAGCGAAACAGUUUUUACAGUCGGAUCGCGAGCAUGCA